UACGUAGGAGGCAAGCGUUGUUCGGAAUUACUGGGCGUAAAGCGCGCGCAGGCGGCUAUCCAAGUCAGUGGUGAAAGCCCGGAGCUCAACUCCGGAACUGCCAUUGAAACUGUUUAGCUUGAGGAUGAGAGAGGUGAGUGGAAUUCCCAGUGUAGAGGUGAAAUUCGUAGAUAUUGGGAAGAACACCGGUGGCGAAGGCGGGCUACUGGGCUGAUACUGACGCUGAUGCGCGAAAGCCAGGG
rnacentral:rRNA from 1 species